rnacentral:rRNA from 1 species
UGCAGUCGAGCGGAAGGCCCUUUCGGGGGUACUCGAGCGGCGAACGGGUGAGUAACACGUGAGUAAUCUGCCCCUGGCUUUGGGAUAGCCACCGGAAACGGUGAUUAAUACCGGAUAUGACCACUUUUCGCAUGGAUGGUGGUGGAAAGUUUUUCGGCCAGGGAUGUGCUCGCGGCCUAUCAGCUUGAUGGUGAGGUAAUGGCUCACCAUGGCUUCGACGGGUAGCCGGCCUGAGAGGGUGACCGGCCACACUGGGACUGAGACACGGCCCAGACUCCUACGGGAGGCAGCAGUGGGGAAUAUUGGACAAUGGGCGGAAGCCUGAUCCAGCAACGCCGCGUGAGGGAUGACGGCCUUCGGGUUGUAAACCUCUUUCAGCAGGGACGAAGCGCAAGUGACGGUACCUGCAGAAGAAGCACCGGCCAACUACGUGCCAGCAGCCGCGGUAAUACGUAGGGUGCGAGCGUUGUCCGGAAUUAUUGGGCGUAAAGGGCUCGUAGGCGGUUUGUCG